CGCCGGGCCUCCUCGCCUUUGUGCCAUCCGGGUCUCUCGCGCGAGCGAUUUUAGUCUGAGGCGAAGCUUCGGAGCGGCCGGUACUGUUGAGAGCGACAAGUGGAGGCGCCGCUCUAGCGGCCGGGACUCUGAACUAUGGCGGCUAGUGAUACAGAACGAGAUGGACUAGCCCCAGAAAAGACAUCACCAGAUAGAGAUAAGAAAAAAGAGCAGUCAGAUGUAUCUGUUUCUCCUAGAGCUUCAAAACAUCAUUAUUCAAGAUCACGAUCAAGGUCAAGAGAAAGAAAACGAAAGUCAGAUAAUGAAGGAAGAAAACACAGGAGCCGGAGCAGAAGCAAAGAGGUAAUUAACACUUUGUAGUGAAUAGGUACUUUAAAAUACUUAGAAAGUGUCUGGUAGAAAGAUUUGUAUGAAUAUAAGACAUUGUCAAGGUAAGUACAAAACUUGAAAUUUAAAAGGUUCAUUGGGUUAUAAAAUAAGCAUGAUUUUGAUUCAUCAUUUUUGAAGAAGAUGUUUAUGUGAAAAGUACCUUCAAAACUUUAAUUUUAUUAUAUUGUGAAAAUAUUCACAAUAAAAAUUUCAUAUGAAGAAUAUGAUUGGUUUUUUUUAGGCCUGUCACACAGAGCUUCCAUUAAUCUGAGGUCCCGAGUCUCCUGGUGCCUGACAGUUGCUCAGGAUUUUUAAACAGCAAUCAUCUUUACAUAGCAAUACCCUAGAUAUCUGUGCGCUGCUUUUUCCUUAUGAACGAUAACAGGAGUUCUCUUUUCUUUUGCAAACUAGUUCAGUUUCCCUAAUAGUAGUAUUGAAUUUUGAAAUAAAGGUUUGAGUGAGGGACAGCUGAAAAGGUGGCGGUGACACCAAAACUUGAGGAAAAAGAAAGGCAGCAGCUGUAUUGCAAAGGAGUUACUUGUUCACCCACCUGAGAAGACAAAGAAUGAGCCAAUAAGGAAGUGUAGAAGUAGUAGCCAGAAAGGGAGAAGAGUCUUGUGGGGGCUGGGUAAGGGACUCCUAAAACAAGAGUGGGCAGGGACUUCACCUCUUCCCGUAAUGGAAGCUCUGUUAAAUUUUUAAUUUAGGAGAGUUUUUGUGAAAAUGACUAUUUUGUUUAGCUCACAUGAUAACAUUUCUAUAAUAAAUCAUACUCAGCGUGCUUAUGCGCGAAGAGACUGAACUGAAGACGCUGCAGACUCAGAUAGCAAAAUAAUAAGCCUACUUCAUGAUAAGGUAACUAUUAGUCAUUCAAACUCCUAUUUCCCUUAAAUAUAUCUUAAAUCAGUUAAGGGUUUUAAUGUUUUUUUUUUAAAUUAAUAGUAAUGUUAUGUUUGAAAAACUGGUUUGAAAUAAACUUUAAAACCUUUAGAAGUUUAACCACUUAAGACUUUUCCAGUCUGCCUCGUUAUAGCAAAACCAAGGAAAAUUUCUUUUCUAAGCUCCUAUAGAGAACUGGCAAUGAAACUAAAAUUUAAUUGUGUCUCCAGGUCUCUUAUUUUUCUGCAAAUAAUAAAUUAUGUACUAUGAUCAUUUUCAGAGAUAUCAUCAUGCAUGUUCCAAAAUGAUUGGCCAAGUUUUAUUUUUAAGAAACAUUAAUCGUGAGUGGAAAGAAACAUGCUAUGGCCUUUUGGGGGACAGUAGUGUCUUAUUACAGUGGAAAAGUGGUAGCGUGGGCAUCAGAAAAACAUGGGGAAGGUUCAGCUCACCCAUGUAGCUUUGUAACUUUAGAUCUUAGUUAUACAUAAAACAAGGGGAUUAAGUUAGAGGAUCUGAGUUUCCUUCCAGAAUUAAAAUUUAGUGAUUCAGAGAUGUCUAGGAUUUUAAACUUUCACUACAAGAUGAAUUUGACAGAUCUUCCUGUAGGGAACUGUAGUAUGUAGCAAUUCUACUUUGGUAUUUGGUAGGAUGAGACUUGAUCAUGCAGUUAAUUUGAGCUGAGUCUCUGAAUGCACAUGUGAAGGCCUUGGUCUUUUUAAAGUAUGGGGGCAGUAUGUAUUGUGUGAUGGCAUGUGGAUUGUUAUACCUAGUUUGGUUUCUUUAAAAUUGAAACAUACAGUUGCCAUUUCUACCCUAGGUACAUGAAGUGUAAUACUCCUCUAAGCCUAUUGGGAUACUGCAAGAUGAAAAGUGAUUGCUUCACAGUUUAGACAUUGGGAGGAAAAUCAAGAGCUGUCUUUUAGAGGAUGUAGCAGGCAGUAUAACUGUAAAAGGGACACUGCAUCUCUGUGUAAAAUAAUUUGAAAUUAUAGAAAAUAUUAGUACUUAGUAAUAAUUAUAUUUAGCUACCUAACUGAAAUGCGUUUCUGGUGCACUUUUUGUGUCAUCUCCAUUACUUACUUAAACUUAACAUUAUGUACUCUGGAUUUAGAAGUUGAUGUAUAUACAUGGUCUGUAUUCUUUUAGAUAAACAUAAGGGAUUCCUCUUUUGUCUGGCAUAAUGGCUUUUCAAUAUUUCAACUUUAAAAAUCAUUGUUUCUGUUGUAUUGAAAAUAUUUUGGGGAGGAACUACAUUUUGGGUGUUUAUAGUAAAAAAAUAGUAAUUACAUCUGCAACAUUUGGGUGAUGUGAAACUAGAUCUUUUUUUUAUUUGCCACACACUCCUAAGGUUACUAAUGUUGCAUCACAACAUUUUUGUCUACUGAUACCCAUACUAACUCUCUUUGUUGCACUAUUUUCCUGAAAGAACCAACUUCUUCUUAAAACAGGCAAGAAGACAUGAAUCCAAAGAUAAAUCCUCUAAGAAACAUAAGUCUGAGGAACAUAAUGACAAAGAACAUUCUUCUGAUAAAGGAAGAGAGCGACUAAAUUCAUCUGAAAAUGGUGAGGACAGGCACAAACGCAAAGAAAGAAAGUCAUCAAGAGGCAGAAGUCACUCAAGAUCUAGGUCUCGUGAAAGACGCCAUCGUAGUAGAAGCAGGGAGCGGAAGAAGUCUCGAUCCAGGAGUAGGGAGCGGAAGAAAUCGAGAUCCAGAAGCAGAGAGAGGAAGAAAUCGAGAUCCAGAAGCAGGGAAAGAAAACGGCGGAUCAGGUCUCGUUCCCGCUCAAGAUCAAGACACAGGCAUAGGACUAGAAGCAGGAGUAGGACAAGGAGUAGGAGUCGAGAUAGAAAGAAGAGAAUUGAAAAGCCGAGAAGAUUUAGCAGAAGUUUAAGCCGGACUCCAAGUC
rnacentral:sRNA from 1 species